rnacentral:rRNA from 1 species
GACGAACGCUGGCGGCGUGCUUAAUACAUGCAAGUCGAACGGACAGGCCCUGCUUUUGUUGGUUGCUCGAGUGCCGCACGGGUGAGUAACACGUGUGUAACCUGCCCUUGUCUUUCUGAUAACUUCAGGAAACUGCGGCUCUUACCGGAUAUGAUCUCCUGCUGCAUGUUGUUCGUUGGAAAGUUUCGGCGGUUGUGGAUGGUCUCGCGGCUUAUCAGCUUGUUGGUGUGGUAGUGGCUUACGAAGGCUGUGACGGGUAGCCGGCCUGAGAGGGGUACCGGCCACAUGGGGACUGAGAGACGGCCCAGACGCGUACGGGAGGCAGUAGGGGAGAAUAUGGCAGAAUGGGCGGAAGCCAGAUGCAGCAACGCCGGGAGCGGGAUGACGGGCUUCGGGUUAUAAACAGAUGUCGAAGGAGACGAAGAGGGAGUGACGGUAAUGAGUAAAGAAGCAACGGCUAACUACGUG